ACUAUAUACAGAUGUAUAUUCUGAAGUAACUCCAAUCAAAAGCUGUUCCCAAGGUUUGCGCAUGUUUGAAUAAACAUCAAAUAAUGGUUCGCCAAAUGCCGUUAUUUUAAGCCAUGUCCAUGUAGAGACAAGCGUUAAAUUCCAUUUUUUAAAAAGCACUUUUUUAACAAAAUUUACAUACUUUUCCUUAUUUGUGCACCAAACUGCCACGACGCCGGUUUUGCUUAACGAUUCCUGAAUU